rfam:Homo sapiens chromosome 11, GRCh38 reference primary assembly.
GCUGAGUGCAGUGGCUCACGCCUGUGGUCCCAGCUACUUUGGGAGGCUGAGGCAGGAGGAUUGCUUGAGCCCAGGAGGUUGAGGCUGCAGUGAGCUGUGAUUGUGCCACUGCACUCCAGCCUGGGCAACAGAGCAAGACCCUGUCUCUA